AUUGAACGCUGGCGGCAUGCUUUACACAUGCAAGUCGAACGGUAACAGGCCGCCAGGUGCUGACGAGUGGCGCACGGGUGAGUAAUGCACCGGAACGUGCCCAGUCGUGGGGGAUAACUACUCGAAAGAGUAGCUAAUACCGCAUACGAUCCAUGGAUGAAAGCGGGGGACCGUAAGGCCUCGCGCGAUUGGAGCGGCCGAUGUCAGAUUAGGUAGUUGGUGGGGUAAAGGCUCACCAAGCCAACGAUCUGUAGCUGGUCUGAGAGGACGACCAGCCACACUGGGACUGAGACACGGCCCAGACUCCUACGGGAGGCAGCAGUGGGGAAUUUUGGACAAUGGGCGCAAGCCUGAUCCAGCAAUGCCGCGUGCAGGAAGAAGGCCUUCGGGUUGUAAACUGCUUUUGUACGGAACGAAACGGUUCUGGUUAAUACCCGGGGCUAAUGACGGUACCGUAAGAAUAAGCACCGGCUAACUACGUG
rnacentral:rRNA from 1 species